GAUGAAGAAUGUAGCGAAAUGCGAUAAGUAGUGUGAAUUGCAGAAUUCAGUGAAUCAUCGAAUCUUUGAACGCACAUUGCGCCCCUCGGUAUUCCGUGGGGCAUGCCUGUUCGAGCGUCAUUUAACCCCUCAAGCCUAGCUUGGUAUUGGGUGCUUGUCCCGCCUCUCGCGCGGCGACUCACCUCAAAGUCAUUGGCAGCCCGCAUCUCGCCGGCCGUGAGCGCAGCACAGACGCGCUCUUGGCAACGACGGAUCGGCUCUCCAAAAGCUUAUUUCAACCACUGACCUCGGAUCAGGUAGGGAUACCCGCUGAACUUAAGCAUAUCAAUAAGCGGAGGA
rnacentral:misc_RNA from 1 species